rnacentral:rRNA from 1 species
UACCAGCACCCCGAGUGGUCGGGACGUUUAUUGGCCUAAAGCAUCCGUAGCCGGUUCUACAAGUCUUCCGUUAAAUCCAACUGCUUAACAGGUGGGCUGCGGAAGAUACUAUAGAGCUAGGAGGCGGGAUAGGCAAGCGGUACUCGAUGGGUAGGGGUAAAAUCCGUUGAUCCAUUGAAGACCACCAGUGGCGAAGGCGGCUUGCCAGAACGCGCUCGACGGUGAGGGAUGAAAGCUGGGGGAGCAAACCGG